UCGCUACUACCGAUUGAACGCUUUAAUGAGCUCUAGGGAUUAGGUCUUUUCCUUGGGUUUCCUUGGAAUUGUACUCAAGAACUAGCGCAAAUUUGAGCGUUUAGAGGAAGUAA
rnacentral:rRNA from 1 species